rnacentral:tRNA from 1 species
GCAUACAGUUAAUGCAUUUGGCUGCUAACCAAAAGGUUAGAGGUUUGAGUCCACU